rnacentral:tRNA from 3 species
AGCUUCGUGGUGUAGAACAUAUUGGAUUGCAAAUCCGAAGUCGCAGAUUAAUACUUUGCCGGGGCUU